AAUAUUGCACUAUGGAGGAAACUCUGAUGCAGCGACGCCGCGUGAACGAUGAAGGCCUUCGGGUCGUAAAGUUCUGUCCUUGGGGACGAUAAUGACGGUACCCUAGGAGGAAGCCCCGGCUAACCACGUGCCCGCAUCCGCGGUAAUACGUAGGGGGCGAGCGUUGUCCGGAAUUAUUGGGCGUAAAUGGUUCGCAGGCGGUCCUUUAAGGCAGAUGUGAAAGGCUACGGCUUAACCGUAGUUAGCAUUUGAAACUAAAAGGCUUGAGUGCAGGAGAGGAGAGUGGAAUUCCUAGUGUAGCGGUGAAAUGCGUAGAUAUUAGGAGGAACACCAGUGGCGAAGGCGACUCUCUGGACUGCAACUGACGCUGAGGCACGAAAGCGUGGGGAGCGAACA
rnacentral:rRNA from 1 species